rnacentral:rRNA from 1 species
AGAAUCAACGCUGGCGGCGUGCCUAACACAUGCAAGUCGAACGAGAAAGGGGAGCAAUCCCUGAGUAAAGUGGCGCACGGGUGAGUAACACGUGACUAACCUACCCUGGAGUGGGGGAGUAACUGAGGGAAACCUUAGCUAAUACCGCAUAACACCUACGGGUCAAAGGAGCAAUUCGCUUUGGGAGGGGGUCGCGGCCGAUUAGUUAGUUGGCGGGGUAAUGGCCCACCAAGACAGUGAUCGGUAUCCGGCCUGAGAGGGCGCACGGACACACUGGAACUGAAACACGGUCCAGACUCCUACGGGAGGCAGCAGUGGGGAAUUUUGCGCAAUGGGGGAAACCCUGACGCAGCAACGCCGCGUGGAGGAUGAAGUACUUCGGUACGUAAACUCCUUUCGAUCGGGACGAUAAUGACGGUACCGGAAGAAGAAGCCCCGGCUAACUUCGCGCCAGCAGCCGC